AAACGGCUACCACAUCCAAGGAAGGCAGCAGGCGCGCAAAUUACCCAAUCCCGACACGGGGAGGUAGUGACAAUAAAUAACAAUAUAGGGCUCUUUUGGGUCUUAUAAUUGGAAUGAGUACAAUUUAAAUCUCUUAACGAGGAACAAUUGGAGGGCAAGUCUGGUGCCAGCAGCCGCGGUAAUUCCAGCUCCAAUAGCGUAUAUUAAAGUUGUUGCAGUUAAAAAGCUCGUAGUUGAACUUCAGAUUUGGUCGGGUGGUCCGCUUCACAGCGUGUUACUGCUUGGCUGGGUCUUGUCUCUUGGUGAACCAUUGUGCCCUUUAUUGGUGUGCUUUGGGG
rnacentral:rRNA from 1 species